GACGAACGCUGGCGGCGUGCUUAACACAUGCAAGUCGAACGGAAAGGCCCUGCUUUUGUGGGGUGCUCGAGUGGCGAAAGGGUGAGUAACACGUGAGUAACCUGCCCUUGACUUUGGGAUAACUUCAGGAAACUGGGGCUAAUACCGGAUAGGAGCUCCUGCUGCACGGUGUGGGUUGGAAAGUUUCGGCGGUUGGGGAUGGACUCGAGGCUUAUCCGCUUGGUGGUGGGGUAGUGGCUUAACAAGGCUUUGAGGGGUAGCCGGCAUGAGAGGGGGACCGGGCACAUGGGUACUGAGCUACGGCCCAGACUCCUACGGGAGGCAGCAGGGGGGAAUAUUGCACAAUGGGCGGAAGCCUGAUGCAGCAACGCCGCGUGCGGGAUGACGGCCUUCGGGUUGUAAACCGCUUUCGCCUGUGAUGAAGCGUUAGUGACGGUAAUGGGUAAAGAAGCACCGGCUAACUACGUG
rnacentral:rRNA from 1 species